rnacentral:lncRNA from 1 species
UCAUAAAUAAGCAUUGUCAAAUAACUCAUACAUAAGUGUACUCUAAAUUUAAACUUGCUCAUCAACUGUUUGUGCUAACAUUGAGCCUAACUAAGUAUAUGUAAAUUCAUGUCUCCACACUUGUGCGACCACCAAAAUUUGAGUUCCAUUCCAUCUUUCAUCAAUGGCAUCAUCCAUCGUUUCAUCAAUUCAUCAUCGCCGAUGGCAUCAUUCACCAGUAUUUAUGUGCAUCUUCUGCUCUGAAUCCUGAGCCUUGACCACCCGCAAUAACAUGUCAGCAUGUUCAGCUGGCUACUGCUUCGGCUGCAGCUGCAACAGCACAAUAGCCACAACAACUUCUGUUAGUGUUGUUUGUUGCAAAAGAUACUGUAUUCAGUAAUAACAAACAAUGGUUAUUUAGGUUGCCAGGUUAACCACUCACACUGAUCAAAUUUAGUAGCAAACUGGUUCCAAAUGGUGAUGUUUAAAACUAAUGGAGAAGAACUUUAAAGCAAAUUGUUCUUGCG